GACGAACCGUGCGAACGUUAUUCGGAAUCACUGGGCUUAAAGGGUGCGUAGGCGGGCUGUCAAGUCUGGGGUGAAAUCCCACGGCUCAACCGUGGAACUGCCUCAGAUACUGAUGGCCUCGAGGAAGGUAGGGGCAUGCGGAACUGUAGGUGGAGCGGUGAAAUGCGUUGAUAUCUACAGGAACUCCGGUGGCGAAAGCGGCGUGCUGGACCUUUUCUGACGCUGAGGCACGAAAGCUAGGGGAGCAAACGGG
rnacentral:rRNA from 1 species